CAGAUCUCCAUAUGACGCACUCCAAUCAGUGGCUUAUCAGUUGACCCUUAUUCAGCAGUUGCCGUGUGAUCUGUUGGUUCUCGUUUCUCCUGGCGAUUGAGUGAUAGUCCUCAGUUAUCUACUAUAUACAUUGGUCUCUCCAGGCACUUGUGCUUUAAAUUGCUUUCCCUCACUCGUGAAGGCCUUAAAAGUACUUACUCAUGGGUAAUGAUGAGAUGAACAAACUGCUUGUUCAAGAAGAUUAAUACUGGUUGUUAUGAGACUCUUAUCCUUCUUGAAAGAUGGUUCGAGUUGUGCUUCAGAUUUGCAUAUGCUGGCAUUGCAGAGGUUUAAUUAGCUCUGUGAUUUGUGGUUCCCCG